ACGGGACAUACCAAAAACAAGGCGGUCAUGGAGAACAACUCCAUGGAAAAUUAUUCAGCCGAUGCUUCUUGCUGGAUUCAGCUUCUCUUGUUGACGUAGUCAUCUUCAUCCUUGCUCAAGUCGUCAUCAAGAAAGUCAUCCUCCUUGGUGUCGACGUCAACCACGCCAGCGCCCUCCCCCUCCCCAGCACCAUCCUCCUUGCCAGCAACAUCAAAUUUAAGACCCUUCAGCAGGUCAUUGAGCUUUUCAGGGGGCAGAUCAACAGGGGCAUCGUCCGCGUAGCUGUCAUUGCCUGCGCCAAAGUUUCCACCUCCAAAUGCAGGAGGUGCUCCACCCCCUUGAUUCAGGCUAUCGCCACCAUAGUUGUUGGCAGGAGCAGCAUUGUAUCCACCACCACCACCAACCCCUGUGAAACCAGCAUCGCCCCCAUAGCCACCUUGCCCGCCUUGAGGGGCACCAUAAUUGCC
rnacentral:lncRNA from 1 species